GGAAUUUUUUUCAAGUCGAAAUUAUAUCGUGAUAUAAUUUCGACUUGAAAAAAAUCCCUCGUAUUCGUAAAUGCGGAGAACCUUUCAAUGUAACUCAUGCAUUGUCGUGUAAGAAAGGUGGCUUCAUUUCAAGUCGUCAUGAUAACAUAAGAAAUUUGUUCACCACAUAAAAGAGUGCGUAUAAAUGUUCAAUCCGAACCACACCUCAUACCCCUUGAUAAUGAGAAUUUUUGAUUCCAUACAGCAAAUAAAAGUAACAAAGCUUGUUUGGAUAUUAAAGCAAAUGUUUUUUGGCGAAAUGGACAGACAGCAUUUUUUGACGAAAGAGUUACGCAUGUCAAUACCAUGAGAAACGAAAAUCUAGAUAUAGCUGCUAUAUUCAGAACACAAGAAAAGGAAAAAAAAAAGAGAGUGUGGCGAAGAGUUCGUAAGGUAGAACAUGGCAGAUUGACACCACUAGUGUUUGGUACAAAUGGAGUUUUCAAAUAUUGUCUUUGGAGAUGGCAACUGCUGAUAGAAAAAUAGAGCUAAUUGGACAGAAAUUCAAUUGCAGGAGGCUCUCAAAGCUGUACAAAAAGGAUCAUUGCAAAAAGAAGCCGUCAAAAAUACAAAACUUCUCGUAGAACUCUACAAAAUCAUUUGUGUACAGGAUCUUAGAAAAAGUCUUUAGGAAGAAAAACUACGCUUUCUAGUGAGCAGGAGCCAAUGCUGAUAUCAAGAAUUUUUAGAUGUCAGAAAUUGGCUUGUCAAUAACACCAAAACUCUUGAGGGCAUAUGAUUUUGAAGCAAACAAUAUUAAUCAUUGCUUCAAUGUUAAAAAAAAGCUGGCAGGUAGAGACUGGUGUAUUAAUUUUUUAAGGCGCUUCCCAGAAAUUAGAUGCCGAAAGGCGCAAUUUAUGAACCUAGCAAGGGCACAAAAAAAUAAAUUCGUUUAUUGUUAAGGACUAUUUUACCAAAUUAAAAAAACUAAUGGUAUUGUAUGGUUUUUUUAACAUUCCAGAAAAGACUCUACGACAUGGAUAAAAAAGGAGUCAGACUUACAGUUUACCACUAGAAAGCUGUUUUAGCACAAUGGGGAGCAAAGAGAGUUCAUCUUCUUGCUCAGGAAAAUGCGGAAAAUGUGACUGCGGUUGGCUGUGUCAAUGCUAUGGGGUGUGCUAUUCCUACAAUGGUGCUUUUUAAAAAUAUUCGGCUGAAGAGAGAAUUCAGUGACGAUUUUCCUCCUGGUUCAACUGCAUUAAUGACGGAGAAGGGGUUGAUGACCAUCGAAUUCUAUUUUUUAUGGCUUGACCACUUCAAUAAAUAUAAAACAAGUGGAGAGACUUAGUUAAUUAUUGACGGAGCUGCUUCCCAUGUCAAUAUUAGAAUAGUUGAAAAGGCAGAAAGUUUUAGAAUUCGCAUCUUUUGCUUACAAAGCAGUAUUACCCAUGAACUGCAGCCCAUGGACAAAUCUGUUUUUAAAGCUUUUGAGUCCUAUUGGGAUGAAGAAGUCAUGAAAUAUUUAAAGACACUUCCGGACAGGAGAAUAACUAAAUCUCUAUUUGGAAAACAUUUUACACCAGCAUGGAACAAUCACAUGUCAAUUGGCAUUUAUAUACCAUAUUAGUGGUUUCAGGGCUACUGGGAUUUAUCCUUUUAACCCGAAUGCCAUUUCAGAUACUGCUUUUUUGCCUAGUACUAUGACAGAAAUUGAUGAUGCAUUUUUUAACAUGUAUAUUACUGAUCUUUUUGAUCCUUCAACAGCUCUAGUCGUCAUACCAGGACUUUCAACAAUUCCAGUCAUCCAACCCGGUCUUUCACCAGCUUCAGUCACCUAACCCGGUCUCUCAACAGCUUCAGUUGCCUAACCCUGUCUCUCAAUAGUUUCAGUCGAUCAACCCAGUCCCUUAACAGCUCCAGUCGAUCAAGCCAAAAUAAAUAUUAAUGCAAUUUUCACUGAUUUAAUGCCGAGUCCUGCUAAAAAGAAAAUUAUGGGUAUGGUCGGCUGGAAAAAAAGUUUUAAUUAAGUUGCUAAAGCCCUGACGAAAGAAGAUUUUUUAUCUUCCACUUUUAAAGCUGUUAAUAAAAAGAAUAAGGGCAAAGGACAAGCAAAUAUAAAGAAAAGUAAGUUUGUAAGUAUGGGUGUGAAUGAUUAGUUUUGUUCGUUGUGCCAUCAAAAGUGUGUGGAAAGUAUGCGACAAUGUUGUAAAUGUAAAGUAUGGUACCAUGAGGCGUACAUGGGGUAUGAUUUUGAAGAUGAGGAAGAGUUAGUAUGUCCAUUCUGUGAAGAUAAAUGAUUUUUUUUGUAACAUUUUUUUAUUAAAUUUUUCAAUUUUCUGUUGUUA